AUGUUGACAAGUCCAAAAAGAUUUUGUAAGACACACUCAAGUGGAGAUCAGUCUAUAAGCUCGAGAAAAUCCGCUGGGUAUGUUGUGCUUUGGUCUCAUUUUUUUUACGAUUUUCGUGCACGAGUAUUGUCUGAAAUGAGUUUGCAGAUCAAGACCUGGGUGGAAGCAAGUAUACAAAUAGCUUUCAGUAGCAACUACAUGUGA